rnacentral:rRNA from 1 species
CGCCCCGCAAGGGGAGCGGCAGACGGGCUGAGUAACGCGUGGGUAAUCUACCCAUCACUACUGAACAACUCCGGUGAAACUGGAGCUAAUACCGUAUACGUCCUUCGGGAGAAAGAUUUAUCGGUGAUGGAUGAGCCCGCGCUUGGAUUAGCUAGUUGGUGGGGUAAUGGCCUACCUAGGCGACGAUCCAUACCUGGUCUGAGAGGAUGAUCAGCCACACUGGGACUGAGACACGGUCCACACUCCUACGGGAGGCAGCACUGGGGAAUAUUGGACAAUGGGCGCAAGCCUGAUCCAGCCAUGCCGCGCGAGUGAUGAAAGCCCUAGGGUUGUAAAGCUCUUUCAACGGUGAAGAUAAUGACGGUAACCGUACAAGAACCCCCGGCUAACUUCGUGCCAGCAUCCGCGGUAAUACGAAGGGGGCUAGCGUUGUUCGGAUUUACUGGGCGUCAAGCGCACGUAGGCGGAUUGUUGAGUUAGGGGUGAAGUCCCAGGGCUCAACCCUGGAGGUGCCUUUAAUACUGGCGAUCUCGAGUCCGGAAGAGGUGAGUGGAAUUCCGAGUGUAGAGGUGAAAUUCGUCCAUGUUCGGAGGAACACCUUCGGCGAAGGCUGCUCACUGGUCCUCUACUGACGCUGAGGUGCGAACCGUGGGGAAAAACAGGAUUAGAACCCUGGUAGCCACGCUGUAACAAUGGAACUAUCGUCGGUAGUUCCUUGUCGGGGCGGUCUACGCAUUAGCUUCCGCCUGGCGAGUACGGUCCAAGAUACACUCAAAUGAAUUGACGGGG